rnacentral:rRNA from 1 species
UACAGAGGGUGCGAGCGUUAAUCGGAAUUACUGGGCGUAAAGCGCACGUAGUCGGCUUUGCAAGUCGGGUGUGAAAUCCCCGGGCUCAACCUGGGAACUGCAUCCGAGACUGCAUCGCUAGAACGUCGGAGAGGUAAGUGGAAUUCCGAGUGUAGAGGUGAAAUUCGUAGAUAUUCGGAAGAACACCAGUGGCGAAGGCGACUUACUGGACGACUGUUGACACUGAGGUGCGAAAGCGUGGGGAGCAAACAGG